rnacentral:rRNA from 1 species
CUCAAUGAAAUUUCAAUAGCCGCAAUUUAUUUGUGCUAAGGUAGCAUAAUCAUUUGUCUUUUAAUUAAAGACUAGAACAAAAGAUUUAACAUUUUUAUUUCUUUCUUAUAUAUAACUUAUUUAAUUUAUCUUAAAUAUAAAAAGAUAUUUAUUUUACAAAAAGACGACAAGACCCUAUUGAACUUAACUAAAGUUAAACUGGGGCAGUUAAUCAAAUAUAAUUUUAAUUUAAACUUUUAAAACAUCUAAUAAAAUUAAAUUUAUCAAGUUACCAUAGGGAUAACAGCGUAAUAAUUUUCUAUAGAUCUUAUUUAAAAAAUAAUUUGCGACCUCGAUGUUGAAUUAAUAAUCUAUUAAAUGCAAUAAUUUAAAAAGAAAGUCUGUUCGACUU